AAUGAAAGUAGCUGUUUUCCUUUUACUUGAUAGGAAAGUAGAGGCAUAUCCACGGUUCCCCCGGCUACCGGUGGUGAAACUCGGCAAGACUGCUGAAGUCAGCGAAAAGCAAGGCUCAAAGCUGCAAGGUUUGCCUGAGACUACAGCCCCGGAGACCCGUGACUUGCAGACUUGCAUUCCCCGGAGCGACCUGCUGGGGGCAGGUGAGGCGGCACAGCAGGCCCUGGGUUACCUGAGAGAUGAAAGCUGGUCCAUUGUCUGACCCUCUGAGAGUGGGUAAUCCAUACCUGCAUAGGAUGUCUUCCAGCAUCUUCUCUCGGCCACUACAUUGGCAGUUUCCUUCUUGGUGGGAGAAAAAGCCUCUACGCAUCCUGAGAAGGUAGUAUCCUGGUGAACCUUAUGGAGAAGCUAUUGAGCAAAGUCCUUAUCAGCUCCAACUGCCCAAUGUCUGGGAUCCAUUCAUGGCCUCCUGGACUCUUCCAAAGGAUUCCGGUCACUUCUCCAGCCCUGCCCUCUGCAGCACACACAAUUUGUCUUCUAGGCUCCAGCUGGCUUCCCUCCACUGCUGCUGCUGUUCUCGGUGGUCAUCCAUAGCACUGACAUCUCCGAAACACCAGGGUCUUCUGCUGCAACUGGGCUGCUCUUUCACCAUCAGCCUUCUCAUAGGCUUUUUUCCUGGUGCCAAGCCUCAGCUGCUCUCCAUAACCCCCUCGUGCCUUCCAAACCAGUACCACCUGGGUGACUCUUACACAACCAAGUUCAAAUGCCAGCACGAGGCACAUCCUUACCCAGUUCUGGAAUACAGCUUCUAUGUGCCAACUCUGAGGAAAACACUUCCCAGGAGAUUUCACCUCAGUGAUGCUGGUCUCUUAAGGCCUGCUGCCGUCUCAGACAAAGCUGCUCCCGUCGGUGAAGAGGACUCAAGCUGUGUCUGGCCGUGGGAUGUAAGUCAGAUCCAGUCAGAUUUUGGAUGUUGUAGCAUGAUGGAGCGCUCAUGCUGGAUCUGGCAAAAGGGUGGCUGUGUUGAGUGCUAGGGAUGGGCUCCUUAAGGCAGAGCUGAGCUUUCAUAGCCAGACUGGCCAGAUCUUGCAGCAGGUCUGUCACAGCUUGAUGACAGGCGUCUAAAUCUGAAGCAGCCACUAGGUAGGUCAUCCACAUACUGUAAAAAGACUAAUGUUGGGUGGGCACGCCUGUACUCACCCAAGUCCUCAUGUAAUGCUUCAACGAAGAUGGAGGGCAAAUUUUGAGCCCUUACGGCAGCCUGGUCCAAGUCAGUUGUCCGAAGCUUUUUGUGUAGAGCCAAUGCAGACUGGUUGACAAAAGUCCAUGGUGAUGACAGUCUGGUUCUCUUGAGCAGUAGGGUCAAAAGACUUAUAGAUGUAUGCGGUAUGCCUCUAGCAAACUUUCCAGGAAGGCGCCCAGACUCUAUCUUUUCCCUGUUUAACUUUGUUUAAAUUUUUGGAAGCACCCCCUGAGAACCUGGCGGUAAACUUGGGAGCCUCUCCUUACCUUCUGCCCUGUUACGAUUCCAGUCGUCAGGGAGGGUGAGUGGAAAAGACACAUCGAUGUCAGCCUGGACCGGGGUGAUUACUCCAUGGGCACCUGGAACCAAUUUCCAGGCAGCUGACAGAAUGCGGUCCCUGUCCAGUUGUGAAAAGGACCUGUAACAGUUGUUGGCAAUCCUCCCACCUGGAUGGAAUCUAAGACGUCAGUAAGUUUAGCUGGCUUCUCAGGAUGUGUAGCUCUGUAGUUCCCAAUUCAUAAAUCACUGCUAUUAAAAGGUGGUGAAUACAGUACCUUUUGUCUCGAGUUACCAUCAGGGGUCCCCAAGGCUCACAAGGGAAGAGUCACAGCUUCCGAUACCGAUGAGCUGCUCCUGACCUGGUGUAUGGUGAGUUCACUAAAGGAUCCGGAGGGAGAGCCUGCCCUCCUCUGGCCAUCCUAUUUUGAAUGUGGGCCAUUGGUUCCCCACAAAAGGUGGUUCAUUUACCCAGGCAAUCAACCAAACUGGAAUCCUCCACAAUUCAGCGGAAAUUGUUGAAGUACUCCAGCACUAAACUCAAGGGGGUAUAGCUUAACUCCCGAUUAGACACUUCAUUCCAAGAAACUACCACAGCAAGGCAACAAGUAAGACGUCGCAAACACAAGCAGACACUAGAGAACAAAAAUGAAACACAGGAAAACGGAAGCAAAACCCAAAUGGGGCUUCAGUUGGUGUCAGCCCGUGAACACGCUAGGCAAAGUCACCGGAUGCCGGCUCAGAAACUGAUUCUCCCACCUGAGAGCCGAAAGGCUCUCCAAGGGAGGUCUGAGUGUUCUCCCGUAGCAUAUUUUAAGCCCAACAUCUGGGUACCAUUUGUUGUCGAAACUUUAACCAACCAAACAAACAAACCCCCAAAACUCUUAUUUACGUUUAUCUUUUUCAUCCCUACUCCACCCCAAUCCCUUCUAACACACCCCAACACCAGGUAGAAGAGAGAAAGGGUUAGUGGGAGAAGGGGCGCAGUUCUCUUUCUGAGCUGCUUCCUGCUGGUUAGGGUCAUUGUUGGGUUCCUUGGAGCCAGUCCAAUCCUUGUUUCAGGAGAUCUCCAACAUCUUGUCUCACAACAGCA